rnacentral:hammerhead_ribozyme from 1 species
GUACUGAUGAGGAGUCGCGAGCCAAGACGAAACAGCUGUCCAGUAC